UCCUGCAUCGCCGGCGAGCUAUGCCGCCACCACGUUGACAACGCCACCACGUCGAGGCCGCCGCAACAUCGAGAGACGCUGCCAGGUACUCCGCCACCAUCUGUCAUUCCUUCAUGUACUCCGUAUUUGUCAGAACGAAAAUCCAGAGUACAAACGUCAUGUACCUGAAAAUUUUGGCCUCCUUUGUUAAAUAAUCCUAGCUACAGAGAAAUUGAGAGAGAGAUCAGGCGGUCCAGGCCGGAUCACAAUGGACUGACAUAUAUACUGUGGUACAUAUUCUAUCUAUGAUGAUGCAUACUAGUAGUAUAUAGCCUGGGAAGAUGCAUGGACUUAAAAAAAAUAUUGAUUUGGAAUGCUCACACACGACCACGCCAUUGCACAUUAGUAUUCUUCAUGUAUGGAGUAACCGCGUGAUGCUAUUUUCAGAACAAAUGUAUGCGCUGUAGAAAUCAAACCAUGUAUAGUAUUUAACAAGCUUUUCAAACUUGAUGAAAUGUGCUGCUGAAUUAUUGUGCUCAUACUCAUUUGAUGAAGUUGUCAAAAUCAAACCUUUACCCUUGUGGUAUCUUGAUGACAUGAAUUGCACCUGAAUAUGAUACUGUUGCUUUUGUAGAUGUUGUCAUGCCUUCAAAUGUUAUCUUGAUGCCAUCAAUUUUCAUGGCUGCUGAAUGUAUGAGAGUGAAACAACAAAUCCAUUUUUUAACUGAUUGUUGUUUAUGCACAACGCCAUCUUUCUGUAAGACAUGAGUUCGUGGUUAGCAAGACUUUCAGAAGUGAGGAUGAAGGAUAUGAGUUAUAUCUAUAUUUGUCCACCAAUAUUAUUUCUGGUAUACUAUACAUAUUAUUACCAGGUGGUUUGUGACUUGAGGAAAAAGCUCUGGAUCGAGCCUCACGGAAUCGAUAUUGGCUAUGCAGUCCGUGGCCAAUCUGCAGGUGCUGGUGCCUCGUCUUCCCAAGGUGGUGGCUACCACCGUUAAUGCCUAACGGGAUGAAUAUGCACAAAAAACGCUAGUCAUGUGUCUACUAGACGUCGAGCUUUCUCGUUGCCGACUGGAGAUUAGAUAUGUUGGAAUAAUGCUGAUGGUGUUCUAGUUAAAUUGACUGUAAUUGGAAGAGUAUUUUGGUUGGUACUUAUUUGCAGUCAAAUAGUUUGAAAUAAAAUAUAUUUAUGUGA